rnacentral:lncRNA from 1 species
GUAACACUCACUGUAAAAGUCUGCAGCUUCACUCUGGAACCAGCGAGACCACAAACCCACCGGAAGGAAGAAACUGCAAACACAUCCGAGCAUCAGAAGUAACAAACUCCAGACAGGGGGCCUUUAAGAACUGUAACACUGGCCACGAGAGUCCGCGGCUUCAUUUUUGAAGUCAGUGAGACCAAGAACCCACCAAUUCCGGACACAGUACUUGCUGCCUCUCUAUAUCAUCUCCUCUGAAGGCAGGUAUUUGCCUACACAGUCUGCUGAGUACUAAGUGCAACACACACUGCAGGGGCUUCCCAGAGCCCUACUCGGAUUCAGGUGGAUUCUUAUGCAGAUGGUGAAAAAGGUCAAAAGUUUGAACUGGGAAUCAAUUGCUGUAAGUUUCUCUAUGAUAUUCUCCCAGCAAGAUGUCUUCCUUGUAAUAACUUGGGAGAACGUUGACUCCAGGGUAGGAGAGUGUUCCUGAGGAGUCGGCACACUUUAUGGCUGGCCCCAGGCCGUGGGUCAGAAAAAUCCACAGCUGGCCACACCAUUCUGUGCAGCGGGAAAAACCAUCAGUUGAAGGUACUGUGGAAAAUCAGUUAAGCUCAUUCAAUCAUCCUGGUUCCUGGUGGGUUCAGUGUCCCAUAUUUAAGACAAAACUCUUAACACUGUUAUGCUGUGGUCUUCUUUGAGUUCAUCUGUGAAAAAUCUAAAUUGUUAAGUCAAUCACUAGUCUUACAACUAGAAAAGAAACAUACUAUGUAAAGUUGCGACACUUUUCAUAGAAAGCAACAUCUCAAUCUAAUGUUACAUAUUCAGGUGAGUGUUAAACAUCAUCUGAGAUGAGCUCUUCUCUGGGCUCAGCCACAUCUCUCAAGAUCCCAAGAGAAUCAAAAGGUUGAAGUGUGAAUCAAUUUGUAUGAAUUUCUCAUAAAUCCUGUCAACAAGAUGUCAACAGCUGUCUUUAUCGUCAUACAUUUGGGAGGCUGUUGCCUCCAGGAUCUGACAGUGGUUACCAAGGAGUCAGCACCGUCUAUUGCUGGCCCCACGCAGUGGGUCAGAAAAACCCACAACUGGGCAGACAAUUGAGUUCAUCCCAGAAAACCAUCCAUUGAAGGUGCUGUGGAAAGUCAGUGAAGUUCAUUCAAUCAUCAAGAUUCUAGGGGGUUCUGUGUCCCGUACUGAAGUCAGAACUCUCACACUGUUACGCCUUAGUCUUCUUGCAGUUCAUCUACACACAUCUAAAAUGAAGUCAUUGCUGUUUCUGCAACUGUAGAAGUAAAGAUGUAUUUACAAUUUAAAGGAUGGUACCAUUUUACUGGAAAGCAACGUCUCAAUCUUAUGUUGACACAUUCACCUGAGUGUUAAACAUCCACUCAAAAGAGUGUUGCCAACCUUGACUAAAAUAGUCAUUGUGUAGAACAGUUUGAAAUUAACAUGAAAAUGGAACAGACAGAACAGAAAGGUCUCAGAUCCUUUGUCCACCCUUUUCUUUUCUUAACCCCAUUUUCAGUGGUGUGGUCCAUGUGUGUAACAAUGACUAAACCAAUAUGGAUACAUUUUUACGAUCUGAAGUCAGGAGUUUGCAUGGAGGUUCACCGUGUUGUGCCCUCUAUGGGUUGUGACAAACUCCGAAUGCCAUUCACCACCCAUACGAAGUAGCUGCAUGCCUUAAACACUUCCUGUGUUUCCCCUGUGCAUCCCUCUCCCCUUUGCCAGAAGCCCUGGCAACAAGAAUCCUUUUCACUGUGUCUAGAGUUUUCUCUCCCAGAAUUGUAUAGGCUUGGAAUCAUGGAGUAGGCAGCUUUUUCAGACGGCCUUAUCCUCCUCAGCAAUAUUCAUUCACUGCCAGCAUCUGUCUUUGAGGUCACCCCAUGGUCGCCACUCCCCCUUCCCAGCUUUUCCUUGCAAGGUCUCUUGUUGGCUCCAGUGGGAGCUUCUUCCCAUCUGCCCAGGCCCUUCCAACGCCCCCCAGUGUCAGCAAGGCCUGGACCAGGGACACCAGCAGCCCCCUGCACUGGAGUCCUGUGGCUCCACCCCAAGUUUGAAAUUUCCCAGUAACCCUGCAGCCACUGCCCAGCCAGUUCUGGUAGAAAUCAGGGAAAGAAGGAUCUUCCAUGCACUCAGCGACCUUCUCAACUGAAGUCUAAAGUUUCACUACAGAUAAUGUUGCCAAGAAUGUGGAAAAUCUGCCUCCCAUCAUCACCUCUGCCAGCCACGGCUUCUGUGUGGUUGGGCCACAUGCACUGUGUAAAAUGACAAAGGGGCUUCAUCAAUGGCUGAGCAUCAGGGCAGGCACAUGGCUCUGUUCCUAGGAGGAGGACAUGUUAGGUUGUGCAUUGCAGGGUGGGGAAAGAUCAAGUCAGUGUAAUGACAAAGAAAUCCCCACCCGAUUCCCUGCCGAACCUCCUGGGUGAAAUAGGUGUCUGCUGGCUUCUGAGGGCCUUUGCAAGAAAACAGGAUUCUUGCUUAAGCAAAAGUAGGUGUAAAAUGAGGCAUACUAUGGCUUGAGGAACCAUUUGGAUCAUGAACACCACGUGAAAUGCUUUGUAUCAUCAUAGAAAUCCAUUAGCCUGCAAUUGACCUCUUGAUAUUUAUCCCCACAAAGCAAAAAGAUGAGACUGCUCCAUUUGAAAAGGGUCACUUUUGCCUACAGAAACAUGCUUCUCAUAACAAGGCUGUCCUAGACAUUUCUUACUCUCUAGAACACAGUUUCCCAGUGGUGCUUGAGAAAAAACCCAAGGUGAGGACCUCAAUGCUAAAAGCAGUGACGACAAGAUCAAGGACUCCAGGAAUCCAGAGAUGGCCGCUCAGUGGACUCUGUGGGAGAAGGCAGGGCUCCGGCCCCAGGCUGGGCCUGCAGAGGGAGAAGAUAUAGAGGGAUAGAAGGAAGUCACAAGGGUCCCCGGGCCCGGUGAGUUGGGGUUGGGGAGGAUAGAUUCCAGGGUUUUAAUGUCAGGAGACUCAUGACAUCAUCAUCCCCUGAGUCCUAUGAUUUUCCUGCUCCUUCUAAGUGGGAAAGAGCAGGGGGGACGGUCCUGGCUGGAGUGACCCUGCAUGGACAUCGCUGACAUUUCUUAAGAGAGGGUAGUUCCUUCCUGUUGAAGCUGUGACAGGAGCUGGGGACGGGCGUCUUCAUCAUGCUGUGUGACAAAGCAGGCCUUUCCAUCCUGGAAGCUGGCGAGAGGCAGAGAGUAGGAAUCAGGUUUCCGGUCCUCUGAGCCAGACUGGGGGACAUAGUUCAGCAGGGAUGGUGUCAAGGUCAGGCCAGACACACAGAAGUUCCCAGACUGACCUUCCUGGGGCUCAUAGUUCAGCAGGGAUGGUUGUCAAGGUCAGGCCAGACACACAGAAGUUCCCAGACUGACCUUUCUGGGGCUGGACAGAAACCAGUUUCCAUCUUCCACCUGCUUCUGGAAGUUGCCUGUCAAGCGCCCUCUGUAGACAGCACUAGCCAAAGAUUGCCUGGCCCAGAAGUGCAUUGAAACUGAAGGCAGUGUGGCCCCACCUGGCCAGGGCAGCUGCUCACACUGUAGCUCCCUGGAAGGAGCGAGGGCACCGGCUCCCGUUCAGGGCAAGCUCAGCAAAGUGAUGGAGGCUGAUCCCAGAGCCCAGAUCAUCCUUGAUCCUCUGUUUCACAGCCCAGAGGACGUGGGUUUGAGAUUUUCUCUGAAAUGGUCUUAGAGUUCUCAGGCCCAAACUCUUGAGUCCUCGCACUCAUGGGGAUCCGCAAUGCGGCUGCAGCUGUUCAGUGCAGGGGCAGGAAUGUGCCCUCCGCAUUUCCUCUCAUCACAGCGCUCAGCCCUGGGCAGCCUGUCUUAGGCCACAUGAAGGUCUCAUGAAAACACCCCUGGGCUGGGCUCUAGCUCGAGUGGGCAAAGGUUCCCUCCUCACACUGUUCAGCCUGUUGGACCUUCUCACUGAACGAGGCGUCUUCCCAGGAUCUGACCCAAGUCAGAGGGUGGUGAGGGUGGGCUCCUGCAGACCCUGGGAUGUCCAUUUUCCUGGGGUCUCUCUGCUCUGAUGCUGUUUAGACAAGGUUGGUUUCACUUCUCUGUGUGCAAGUGUAACCCCCUCCCCACGGCUUCCCUCUAGGCCAAGGCACUGUCCUCAUGGUUGUAUCCCCAUAUCUCACACAGUGCCUGGCCCUUGUGCAGGUGCUAAAAAAAAUCCUGUUUCCUUGCAGAGGCCCUCAGAAGCCACACAUGAAUGAUGGGAUCAGAGCACCCAACCCCACUGCAAGGAAACACCCAGGGAGGGAGUCAUGUCCUUUUCAUGUUUGUAUCUCUAGAGCUGCAGCAUCUAGCGUGGGAAUCCCAGCCUGGAGGUGCUGUGUAUAACUCAUUCAUUCAUUAGUGCAGUUAAUCACAAUAAAAUGAGAAAUUCCAAUCUUCAUUCACACUGGCCACAUUUCCAGUGCCCCACAGAGUUUGUGCCAGCGGCCACCUUAUGCAACAGCACAGAGAACAUUUCCAUCCACACAGAACACACUCUUGGGAACCUGCUCUGAGCCUGGCAUGGGGUCUGUUCAUGGAACUCAUCUAACUAAGAAACCUGUGCAUCAAAGUUGGAAUUUCAGGUGAAUGGGACUGGAGGAACGAGCUCUAACGAUCCAGCGGAAAUGCGGAAGUGGGAAGAUGAUGGGGGUGCUCUCUCCUGAGGGUUUGCACCCGUGAGCUGUGUCUUGUUAGAGACUCUGGACUCCACAGAGUUAAAGGAGGGUUGAACAGACCAAGAGAGAGAGCAGGGUGGUCUUGUGUGAUCCAGCUUGACCUCAGCUGGAGGAGGAGGGAUGGAUGAACCUUCCUCUGGAAUAAUUGUCUUCCCACUUUUGUCUCUAGAGACUCCAUUGUCAACAGAAGACAUGAUUCAAGCAGUGAUGAAGAAGACACUCCAGGUUUAAAACAACCCAGGAGGGACCCAACGAAGGAGGGUGCCUGUAGCAGUUGGGGUUGGCCUGCUGCCUUAGAGACUGAGGAAGUGGGGGAUGAAAUUAGAAAGUGAAAGGAAACGUGUAUGGAAGGCUGCUUUGUCCUUGUCAUCCUUACUGACUCAAUAGGGAGAGGUUUGGUGCCUCUGGGCUUUGAGUGUGCAGUGUUUGUCAUCAUCUUUUCUUGCUGUGAUUUUUUAAAAAUGAUCUUUCCCGGAAAACCGUGUCUUUCCUGCCUUUGCGUCAGUAAAACUCCAAAGUCUUUGGUGAUGUUUGGCAGCACCUCCUGCGUCUUGGUGAGGAAGAAUGUGAGCAAGGAGGUGCCCAUGAUGUGCUGGAGCAUUCACUGCCUCUUCCCAGCCAGGCCUGAGUCGGGGAUGCUCAGACAGCUGCUCAGAUCUUUAGUCCAUAAAGGGAAAGGGAAGCAGGGGGCUGACGGGCUUCACUGAUUGAGAUAGCAGAGCACCAGUCCAGCAGGCCUCCUCCCCAGUUAACUCGCCUUCCCUGCUCGUAAGAGUUUGUCAGUUACAGUGAAGCGAAUUCUUUGGGAGGCUCUGUCCUAUGGGUGUGGCUGGCAUGGGAGUCCUGAGCUCUGAGCCAGUGGGGAGUCAAGAAGGACACUAGUCAUUCAGGGUGGUCGCUGGCACAUCCAGAAGCCUCACCUUGAGGUGGCUCAUGGUGUGAAGGUGCUGGGGCAGGAGUGGCGCAGAUUGGACACCCUGAUCCUUCAAAGGGUCUUCAUUUGGGGUCAGCUGCAUCAUAUUUUGGGUCAAGGAUUACAACAUAGAUGCAGGAGGCUGUGUCAGCCACCUCCUGCAGGACAUCACCUCUCUCCAAAGUAAUCCUGGAACAAGAGGAUUUGGGAAAUGGGGUGAGGGAAGCCCUGGGUCAGGCACCCAGGGCAUGAUCUAGAGGAAACUGGGCUUCAGGGAUCUCCGUCUCCAGGAAACCAACUACGUUCCCGGCUCAGCCUCGUCCCUCCUUAGUGUUGUGACUCUGGGUAUGUCACUUAGGCCCUGUCAAUUUUAGUGUCCUCAACUGUAAAAUGUGGGUCACAGCCCUGCUCCGCCCACUUCACGGGGCUCCUGUGAGGGUCAUGAGGGAUGACAACAGAUCCUCUUCAGGAGCUAGAAGUUCCUGCCCAUGGAAAGGCUGGAAAGUGACUCGUGACUUGUAGCCACUCUGAGGCAACCACUACUACAGAUCUCCUUCAUUCCCUCAGACAUUAUGUAUUUGAGCAGUUUUCUAGCACUUAUGAAGUGUCAGUCAUUUUUCUGUUGGCUUCGUUUGGGUCUGCUUCUAGGUAGGAUCUGAGCCCAGGACAUCAGGCACCUGCCACUUGCUCUAAGUCACUGAGCUCAGCUGCCCUCCUGAAUUGUCUCAUUAGAGUAACGUCCCCACGCAAUCAUCCGGGUGUUAUGUGAAGUGCUCACAGCACCUCAGGACGCCUCCCGCUAAGCCAGCUUUGACUCGGUUGCUCCCCGAGGCAGCUGUUGGAGACAAGUGUGACUUGGGAAAGGUGAACACCUGCCCACCGUCUCCUGCCUGCACCGUAUCAACAGGGGGCUCUAUUUUCAAUGCAUUUUUCCAAAGCUCAUGGCUCAGAGAUACAACAAGAACAGAUCAUGGAAGAUUCAAAUCCAGACUAUGCCAGAAAAGUGAUCUGGGCUGAAGAAAACCUCCUGGCCAUUCCCAGAAGCAUCCCGUCGGCAUCUGGGCAAAGGCAGGAGGAGCCUCAGACAUCACCACCUGCCAGCUCCUCCACUGAAGGCGUCCUGGACCUGAAGCUAUCAGGAGAUUGGAAUCAUUGCUGUGGUUUGUACAGCAGGGCCUGAGUCUUGGUGAGGAAGGACAGGAGCAGGGAGGCGCCCACUCAGAGCUGGGGCAGCCACUGCCUCUUCUCAGCCAGGCCUGAGUCCAGACUGCUGGGGCAGCUGCUGUGAUCAAGAGGAGGCACUGAGACCCUGGCAGCUUGCCGGCUUCACUCCCUACGCUGCCCAAGCCCCAGCCCAGCAGGCCGCUUUUUCAUUGAAAGAAUCUGCACUGCCCAGCAGCCCGGUUUGGUCAGUUGAAGAGCAGGGAAAUUUGAACACAGGCACAGAGGAAAGAAGGUCAUGUGAUGACACAGGCAGAGAUUGGAGUGGUGCAGCUGCAAGCCAAGGAAAGCCAAGGAUUUCCAGCAACCACCUGAAGCUAGAAAGAAGCAAAGAAAGAUAAUUCCCUAGAGCCUUCAAAUAGAGCACAGCCCAACUGACACUUUAACUUUGGACUUCUAUCCUCCAGCAAUAAAUAUUAGAUCACUUAGGAAUGAUAGAAAUAUCUGGUGAUGGAAUUUCAAGAAUGGAACCUCUGGCCGGGCGUGGUGGAGACAGAGUCUCACUCUGCACCGUGCCGGCCAGAUUUUGGUAUUUCUUAUGGGAAACCUGAGUUCCUGCAUUAGAGGUAUGUUCACACUGGCCUGUUGAAUGCUGUCCUCUUAAAUGUAUUUAAAAAUUAUCCUCUGUAUUUUUCGUAUGCGGUUAUAAAUGUGUUUUGGGGAUCUAUUUUAUUCCUUAAUUUAUAUAUUUGAUUCUAGCGUCAAGCAGGUUCCCUUUGAAUUUUUCCUUUAAAGAACAUGUGCUAUUUCCUAUUACAUCCUGUACCCCUCAAACUGCCCAAUUAGGUAUACUCCUGGGGAAAAUAUGGCAAAGUUUGUUGUAAUGCAGUUUUUUUACCUAAUUAAGUAGCUACUAAAAUAAUUAAUUUCAAAAAUUUGGAGCAAACCUAGAAAGAUGCAGAUGUCUUUGUGGCUUUUCACGCAAUCAAGUUUACCUAUCUUUGCUUUUAAUAUGUAUUUCCUCUUGAUGAAAUGUUUAUUUAGUUUAGUAAACUUGGGAUAUGUCAUUUAUAUCCAUAAAUCAACUUUUUAAAAAAGAGAUAA